UCAAGCGAACGAAAGCACGUCGGGGAUGCCUUGGCACACGAAGGCGAUGAAGGGCGUGGUAAGCUGCGAUAAGCGUCGGGGAGUGGCACACACACUGUGAUCCGGCGAUGCCCGAAUGGGGAAACCCGGCCGUCAGCGAUGGCGGUCACGCCGAAAGGCGAGCGAACCCUGGGAACUGAAACAUCUAAGUACCGGGUGGAAGAGAAAUCAAUCGAGAUGCCCUGAGUAGUGGCGAGCGAAACGGGUACAGGCCAAACCGUGGUCCUUCGGGGCUGCGGGGUUGUAGGACCCACGGACGCGCGUGGUGACGCUAGCUGAAGUCUCCUGGAACGGAGCGCCAAAGACGGUGACAGCCCGGUCGGCGAAAGCCAUGAACCAUGCGUAGUGGAGUUCCUGAGUAACGCCCGACCCGAGAAAUCGGGCGUGAAACUGGGGGGACCACCCUCCAAGCCUAAACACUCUCGUGUGACCGAUAGUAGACGAGUACCGUGAGGGAAAGGUGAAAAGCACCCCUGUGCGGGGAGUGAAACAGAUCCUGAAACGACGUGCUUACAAGCGGUAGGAGGGGGCUUCGGCCCCUGACUGCGUGCCUUUUGCAUUAUGAUCCGGCGAGUUACUCGUCGCAUGCGAGGCUAAGCGGCUCAGCCGCGGAGCCAGAGCGAAAGCGAGUCCUGUAACGAGGGCGUCCAGAGUAUGCGGCGGUAGACCCGAAGCCAGGGCGAUCUACCCAUGAGCAGGGUGAAGCUGGGGUAACACCCAGUGGAGGCCCGAACCGGUAUGGGUUGAAAACCGUUCGGAUGACUUGUGGGUAGGGGUGAAAGGCCAAUCAAGCCUGGAGAUAGCUGGUUCUCUCCGAAAUCUAUUGAGGUAGAGCCUCGAGCAUUGUGCCGUGGGGGUAGAGCGACUGGAAAGGCGCGGGCUGGCGAAGCCGGUACCAACCCUUACCAAACUCCGAAUACCAUCGGCAUGGACCUCGGGAGGCAGUCGCUGAGCGAUAAUGUCCAGCGGCGAGAGGGAAAGAACCCAGAGCCACAGCUAAGGCCCCGAAGUGGCGGCUCAGUAUAGCGAAGGAUGUGUUCCUGCAUUGACAACUGGGAGGUUGGCUUAGAAGCAGCCAUUCCUUUAAAGAGUGCGUAAUAGCUCACCAGUCCAGCGGGAACGCGCCGAGAAUGGUCGGGAUUAAGCCGCCCGCCGAAGCUUGGCCUUGCAGCAUUGCUGCAGGGGUAGGAGAGCGUUCCGGGAGCACUGAAGGGUCCGUGGAAACGUUGACCUGGAGCGACCGGAAGUGAGGAUGCCGGAUUAAGUACGCGCAAAUACGGGUGAAAACCCCGUACACCGUAAGCCUAAGGAUUCCUGCGCCAUGGCAAUCAGCGCAGGGUGAGGCGGACCCUAAGGUGAGGCCCCAGAGGCGUAACCGAUGGACAGCCGGUCAAAAUUCCGGCCCCGCUGACAGUGCGUUAACACCGACGAAGGGACCGUGGAACGAAAGGGGAGCGGCCUUGUGGAUGGCCGUCUAAGGGUGUAGGCGCAAGCCGAGACCUGAAUGCGAGUGCGCGGGGCAACCCAAGCGCGAGUUCUCUGGAGUCGACACGCAAGAAAAGCUUCGAUCGGAAGUGCUGGCAGCGUCCGUACCGCAAACCGACACAGGUAGGCGAGGCGAGCAGCCUAAGGUGUUCGAGUGAAACGUGGUCAAGGAACUCGGCAUAAUGAUCCCGUAACUUCGGAAGAAGGGAUGCCGGAGAGGGUAACACACACGCCCGCUCCGGUCGCAGAGAAUCGACUCAAGCGACUGUUUAGCAAAAACACAGGUGCAUGCCAAGCCGCACAAGGCGCCGUAUAUGCACUGACGCCUGCCCGGUGCCGGAAGGUUAAGGGGAGAGGUUAGCCGCAAGGCGAAGCUUCGAGCCGAAGCCCCGGUAAACGGCGGCCGUAACUAUAACGGUCCUAAGGUAGCGAAAUUCCUUGUCGGGUAAGUUCCGACC
rnacentral:rRNA from 1 species